CGUUGCGCUAAUCUUACUGCUUGCAGUCUCAUUUGCUCCGUGCGUUUAAAUUGCUGCUUUCACGAAAUUUGAAGCUGGAAAACGAAAAGUUCUGGUGGAACAAUAUAAGCACGUGAUAUUAGGCACUGUUUACACUAAAUGGAAUUUAAUUCUGAAAAGUGGGACGCCAGGUAGUACGGAGGAUGCUGGAGAAACUUAGCAGUUCCUUUGCUGAAGUUACAGCGGUUACUUGGGAGAACCCUUGUGGAAAUUCAUACCUCUAGUGUGAGCUUGACCACAAAUCCUACGAUCAAGAGAUCCUGAUUGGUAAGUGAAUGUUCGACGUCGCUGGAAGAGGGUUUUACGUACACAGAAGAGACCCAGAAGUGCAAGGAGGAUGGUCAGACAGGUCACAGACACUGAAC